rnacentral:rRNA from 1 species
GACGAACGCUGGCGGCGUGCCUAAUACAUGCAAGUCGAGCGGACUGAUUAAGAGCUUGCUCUUAUGACGUUAGCGGCGGGCGGGUGAGUAACACGUGGGCAACCUGCCCUGUAGAUCGGGAUAACACCGAGAAAUCGGUGCUAAUACCGGGUAAUAUCUGAGAUCACAUGAUCUUAGGUUAAAAGAUGGCUCCGGCUAUCACUACAGGAUGGGCCCGCGGCGCAUUAGCUAGUUGGUAAGGUAAUGGCUUACCAAGGCGACGAUGCGUAGCCGACCUGAGAGGGUGAUCGGCCACACUGGGACUGAGACACGGCCCAGACUCCUACGGGAGGCAGCAGUAGGGAAUCUUCCGCAAUGGACGAAAGUCUGACGGAGCAACGCCGCGUGAGUGAUGAAGGGUUUCGGCUCGUAAAGCUCUGUUGUUAGGGAAGAAACAGUACCGAACGAACUAGGUCGGUACCUUGACGGUACCUAACCAGAAAGCCACGGCUAACUACGUG